UACGGGGGGGGCAAGCGUUGUUCGGAAUUACUGGGCGUAAAGGGCGCGUAGGCGGCCUGCUAAGUCGGACGUGAAAUCCCCGGGCCCAACCCGGGAACUGCGUCCGAUACUGGCAGGCUUGAAUCCGGGAGAGGGAUGCGGAAUUCCAGGUGUAGCGGUGAAAUGCGUAGAUAUCUGGAGGAACACCGGUGGCGAAGGCGGCAUCCUGGACCGGCAUUGACGCUGAGGCGCGAAAGCCAGGGGAGCAAACGGG
rnacentral:rRNA from 1 species